rnacentral:rRNA from 1 species
UACGUAGGGUGCGAGCGUUAAUCGGAAUUACUGGGCGUAAAGUGUGCGCAGGUGGCCGCGCAAGUCGAGUGUGAAAGCCCCGGGCUUAACUUGGGAAUUGCGCUCGAAACUACGUGGCUGGAGUGUGGCAGAGGAAGGUGGAAUUCCACGUGUAGCGGUGAAAUGCGUAGAGAUGUGGAGGAACACCGAUGGCGAAGGCAGCCUUCUGGGCCAACACUGACGCUCAUGCACGAAAGCGUGGGGAGCAAACAGG